rnacentral:misc_RNA from 1 species
UGUGGGAGCGGGCUUGCUCGCGAUGCUGACGACGCGGCUUUUCAAAUAGAGCGCAGCGAUAUCAUCGCGAGCAAGCCCGCUCCCACA